UACGUAGGGGGGCUAGCGUUGUCCGGAAUCAUUGGGCGUAAAGAGCGCGUAGGCGGCCAGAUAAGUCCGGUGUGAAAGUCAAAGGCUCAACCUUUGAAUGCCGCUGGAAACUGUCUGGCUAGAGUCCGGGAGGGGCGAGUGGAAUUCCUGGUGUAGCGGUGGAAUGCGCAGAUAUCAGGAGGAACACCGGUGGCGAAGGCGGGUCUCUGGGCCGGUAUUGACGCUGAGGCGCGAAAGCCAGGGGAGCAAACGGGG
rnacentral:rRNA from 1 species